UCAGAACGAACGCUGGCGGCAGGCUUAACACAUGCAAGUCGAGCGCCUUCUUCGGAGGGAGCGGCAGACGGGUGAGUAACGCGUGGGAACGUACCUUUCGGUUCGGAAUAGCCCCGGGAAACUGGGUGUAAUACCGGAUACGUCCUUAGGGAGAAAGAUUUAUCGCCGAAAGAUCGGCCCGCGUUAGAUUAGGUAGUUGGUGGGGUAAAAGCCUACCAAGCCUACGAUCUAUAGCUGGUCUGAGAGGAUGAUCAGCCACACUGGGACUGAGACACGGCCCAGACUCCUACGGGAGGCAGCAGUGAGGAAUCUUGGACAAUGGGCGAAAGCCUGAUCCAGCCAUGCCGCGUGAAUGAUGAAGGCCUUAGGGUUGUAAAAUUCUUUCAGCAGGGAAGAUAAUGACGGUACCUGCAGAAGAAGCCCCGGCUAACUCC
rnacentral:rRNA from 1 species